CUAUUAGUGCACCAAGACAAGUGGAACAACAUGGAGAAAGGUAUCCAGUACCUGAGAGAAUUAGCUGUGCUGGAGGUACUCUAUAAGGAUACAAAGAACGAGCAGUCCCCUGUUCAUCGAGAUGAAGUCC